GAUGAACGCUGGCGGCGUGCCUAAUACAUGCAAGUCGAGCGAACAGACGAGGAGCUUGCUCCUCUGACGUUAGCGGCGGACGGGUGAGUAACACGUGGAUAACCUACCUAUAAGACUGGGAUAACUUCGGGAAACCGGAGCUAAUACCGAAUAUUUUAUUAAACCGCUUGUUUCAAUAUUGAAGGACGGUUUUCUUUUCCCUUUUAGAUGAAUCCGCGCCGCAUUAGCUAGUUGGUAAGGUAACGGCUUACCAAGGCAACGAUGCGUAGCCGACCUGAGAGGGGGAUCGGCCACACUGGAACUGAGACACGGUCCAGACUCCUACGGGAGGCAGCAGUAGGGAAUCUUCCGCAAUGGGCGAAAGCCUGACGGAGCAACGCCGCGUGAGUGAUGAAGGUCUUCGGAUCGUAAAACUCUGUUAUUAGGGAAGAACAAAUGUGUAAGUAACUAUGCACGUCUUGACGGUACCUAAUCAGAAAGCCACGGCUAACUACGUG
rnacentral:rRNA from 1 species